AAAGGGAGACCAACCAUCCAAAACAGUAAGUAAGUAUAGCUGUUUUGAGAUAGGACAACCCUGGUCGAGCAAGGCAUUGGAAGAGAGUGUGAAAGAAACUUUCAAACUAGAGUAAUAGGUUUAAAAAAUGGGCUAUUAGCUCAGUUGGUUAGAGCGCACCCCUGAUAAGGGUGAGGUCUCUGGUUCAAGUCCAGAAUAGCCCACCUACCGAAGAUAUGGGGGUAUAGCUCAGUUGGUAGAGCACUGCCUUUGCACGGCAGGGGUCAGCGGUUCGAGUCCGCUUACCUCCAGAAAAGAGGGAGGGAAAACCAAGAGAAAUCAGCAACAAGACCUGAAAAAAAGUCAAGUCAUGCUGCUGGUAAUCUAAAAUUACCAGUAAGAACCUAGAAAACUGCAUAGUAAAAGUAAAGUCAAAGUAACGAAACCAGAGGUUAGGUAAAACCUAACGAAAAAAAAGACUAGGUCAAGUCUAGUCAGGUAGAAAGUAAAAAGU
rnacentral:tRNA from 1 species